GGAGUUGUAGCUCAGUGGUAGAGUGCUUGUCUAGCAUAUGUGAAGCACUGGGUUCAGUCAUCAGCACCACAUAAAAAUGAAUUAAAAAAGGUAUUGCGUCCAUCUACAACUAAAAAUACUGAGACAGGAGAAUCUCAACCUCAAAGCCAUUCUCAGUAAAGUGAGGUGCUAAGUAACUCAGUGAGAUCCUGUCUUUAAAUAAAAUACAAAAUAGGGCUGGGAACAUGGCUCAUUGGUCAAGUUCCCCUGAGUUCAAUCCUCAGUACCCCA
rnacentral:tRNA from 1 species